rnacentral:pre_miRNA from 1 species
UUUAUACUCCCUCCGUUCCGAAUUACUUGUCUUGGAUUUGUCUAGAUACGGAUGUAUCUAGACUCAUUUUAGUGCUAGAUAUCUCCGUAUCUAGACAAAUCCAAGACAAGUAAUUCGGAACGGAGGGAGUAUAUA